AUUUCGUUCAUUAGGAAUGGGACACGUAAUAAAUAAUAAUUAAAAAAUUAAUCCCGAGCAUAAGACAGAUUUGCGCCUCAAUUGUCCUUUAAAAAGAAAAACCAAAAAAAAAAUAUAAAAAUAAAUAAAUGAGAGGUCUGUCAAUUUUAAGAGCAAAAUUGAGCUAACUUAGCGGAUGGAUACUUUUAGCGAAGUGGAUAAAGGAUCUAUUUAGACUUUUUAAGAUAGUCCGAGACAUUUUUGAGCCUUUACCGUUAAUUCUUUUCCAUUUCCUUUUUCUUUCCCUUUGCAAUUGCUACGGUGCAGAGAGUGUGAAGAAUGGAAUUUCUAAUUCCAAAAAAAAACGCGGAGAAUCUUGAACCUUUUGAGCUUCUUGAUUUUCACCGGCAAGUGUAACUUUUGUCUUACUUAAUGCGCGUUCAAUGUGGAGAAGCUUUUCCUACAUACCAUGAAACUAAAGCACAAAGUAUUAAACAAAUUAAAAGCAACAACCUCCUCAAUUGAGUGGGAAGUGGAAUUCAAAUGGAGCAUUUUCAACUUCAAGAAAGUGGUGAAUUUCAGAAACCUUCAAAUGUAAGUGACUUAAUGCCUUGUGAACUAGUCUGCAAGUCGCAAAAGUCUUUCAAUGUUGAUAGUCAUUGGGUUUUCUGGAGCAGCAGACCCAACGAUGAGUUGCGCUACCAACGCACGAUUUUCCAAGUGAUGAGAGGCUCCGUCUCGAUACUUUGAUUCCCAUUGACAUUAACAAUGUUGAAGUUGAAGGUCUCCUUGGUCCCAUUGGACGAGUUUUCAGAAAUGGGUUGCCAGAAUUUAGCCCCGAUGUGCGGAGUUACUCUGCCGGAGAGUUUCCACUUCUUGAAGAUGCAAUUCGGUUGGGCAUCCAUCGUUAUUGGGCAUGGCCAGUGUUUAAGCCUCAUGAUCAGCAUUGCCUUGGUGUUCUUGAGAUUGCAUUUACAGACCCAACAUCUUAUUCCCCACAUCUUCCACGUUUCUUAAGGAGAUGGAUAUGAGAUCCUCUGAGAUAAAUGGCCUUUUGACCCGAAGGACACAGAUUCACAACCUUCUGACGUAUGGUGCUGUUACCAUUUUGAUUUGGAGAUUGCAGUCUCUCCCACCUCCCCCCCAAAUAGAUAAAAAGGAAGAAAAAAAGAUCACGACUAAUCUCAUUUUUAUUUCCAUUACUCUACUAGUUCUGUCCCACAAAUUUCAUGCUUGGCUUAUCUUUUUCUACAGCAGUGGGAUAAGGUUCUUGGUGCACUUGACCAAAUAGAGGCAGGGUUACAUGUGGUCUGUAAAAUACACAAUAUACCCUUUGCUCAAAUUUGGAUUCCUCGUUCUCAAUCUUGCUCCAUAAAUGCCUUGAUUGCUACUGGUAGAAGAAGUUUAGACAGUUCGAGUUCAAUAUAUGAUGAAUUUGCAGAUGCUUCUGAUUUCUGUUACAUUCAGAGGGGUAAGGCAUUGGUGGGGAGUGCAUUUUCAUCCCGGGGUUCGUGCUUUUGCAAAGAUGUUACUCUAUUAAGCUUGACAGAGUACCUUUUGGUGCCCAGUGCACGAAAAUCUAGAUUGACCCAGAGUUUUGCAAUUUGUUUGCAAAUUAAAUGCGCCAACAAUAUUAUUUACGUAGUUGAGUUCUUUCUGCCACCCAACGAAAUAGUUGUUAGCGUUACAAUGACUUUCUUAAACAUGUUUUUAUCCACAAUGAAAGAACAACUUCCAGGUGUCAGAGUUGCUUAGACAAGAACUAGGGCAGAGGAUGCGAGUUGAAGUUGUUAAAGUUUUCCCAUGCGAUGAAUUUGAUUCCUUUGAAAUUGGCCAACCUCUGCUGAGUGUUCAAUCACCUCAGGAUGAAGGAGGAACAACAAAUACUGAAUCUUCGCGUCAACAAUCAAAUUCACAGAAUGGGGAGAAUACGUCACUACUGCAGUACUUGUUCCGUCUUGUUCUUCACAUAGGCGUGACUCAUUCAACAAUGAAGGGCCAGUACGAGGUGAUGUACUACUUCAGCAUCCAACAGAGGCAGUUGUGACAAACAGAGGAAGGGUUGAUGUGGAUAUAGCACAUGACCCCGUUAAACUUUUAGAGGAUACAAGUGAAAUGAUGCAAACUUGAUUCACACUUUGAGCAACCAAAUUUAGAAAUUGAUUCUGCAAGCAAUGCAAGAAGUAAUGAGAAAGCGGAGCAUAGUGCUAGAUGUGUAAGACAAUUGAUUGAAGCUGAAGCUAUAAACAAAGGAAGUAACUUCAUCACUGGAGCAACAACUAACAACGAGAAAAUCCAUUCAAAGAAGAACAACGCAAUACGGAGGAUAGAAAAAGAUCAUGGGAUUACUCGCAAGAUUCUGGAGCAGCAUUUUGGCAUGACUCUUGAAGAUGCUGCCAAAAACCUACGUGUUAGUCGAGCAACACUGAAACGAAUAUGUAGAGUAUAUAAUAUCUCUAGAUGGCCAAAUCAUAAGACUAGAAAGGUUUAUUACCAUGUUAGCCAAGGCGUAUCUUUUCAAGGUGCUGAACCUUAUGUGGGCGAUCAACAAUGGCUUGCUCCCAAGAAAAAAACACAGAUUUGGGUCGCAAAAGACCUCCUGCCACAGGAAAACCUUGUGAUGGUGCGAUGACUGUAAAGGUUACAUAUAGAGUUGAUAUCAUAAAAUUCAAACUCUUACCCCUUUCAUCAACCAAGGUAGAACUGGAGGGGGAAGUGGAAUAGAGUCUCAACAUAUCACUUCAAAGGUUCUCAAUCAAGUAUCAAGAUGAAGAUGACGAUUGGAUUUUGAUAACUAGUGAUUCAGAUGUGAGGGAUGGUAUGCAUUCACUUAGAUUGUUAGGAAGGACUACUAUGAAAUUAUUGGUUACCCCAGUAGCUGACACAUGAAGGAUUUUCUCUAAGUUUUGUUAUGGUUCAUCUUCAUUGCAAAAAGUUAGUGAUGUUAUCUUUUGAUGACACGGUGUUUGUCUCUUCCCUGCGGUAUCGUGACAUGUCUUUGUGCUUAUUGAACCAAAGGUGAUUAAUUCCAUUAUGUAUAAACAUUUUUAUAAUCA